GCCUAGCUGGCUCAGUUGGUAGGGCAUGUGACUCUUGAUCUCAAGGUUGUGGGUUUGAGCCCCAAACUAUGGGCA
rnacentral:tRNA from 1 species